ensembl:lncRNA
GGAGGAUGUCGUUCACGCGUCGAGGUGAAAGGUAGGCCUUCAUGGCGACCGAGUCCAGGACCAACCCCAGAUAGACGACCGAUUGCCUGCUGGUUUGUUAGCUCGACUUCGCCAUGUGAAGUUGCCCUGUCAGUCCCUAACAGUCUGGUCCCUGGAGCAGCUGGCCCUGGAGCAGCUGGCCCUGGAUCACCUGCCCCCUGGAUCACCUGCCCCUGGCAAAGUGGCCUCUUGAUUGCUCUCUCUGUCUGCUGUCAUGUCCUUCUCAUCGCUCUUGAAAUCCACCUCAAUUUCUCCCUCAAUCACUAACAAUUACAAGGUAAUGUUGCUGCUAUAUGUAUUUUGCCUUUGCAUUUGCAACUACUGUCAUCUCCAAUGUAAGGAAAUGUAAGAAAAUGAAUUAAAGCAAAACAUUUCUGUAAUGUGAAUUAAAU